rnacentral:rRNA from 1 species
UCGGGAAUUUUGGGCAAUGGGCGAAAGCCUGACCCAGCAACGCCGCGUGAAGGAUGAAGUAUUUCGGUAUGUAAACUUCGAAAGAAUAGGAAGAAUAAAUGACGGUACUAUUUAUAAGGUCCGGCUAACUACGUGCCAGCAGCUGCGGUAAUACGUAGGGACCAAGCGUUGUUCGGAUUUACUGGGCGUAAAGGGCGCGUAGGCGGCAAUUCAAGUCAUCUGUGAAAUCUCCGGGCUUAACUCGGAACGGUCAGAUGAUACUGCUUUGCUAGAGUGCAGAAGGGGCAAUCGGAAUUCUUGGUGUAGCGGUGAAAUGCGUAGAUAUCAAGAGGAACACCUGAGGUGAAGACGGGUUGCUGGGCUGACACUGACGCUGAGGCGCGAAAGCCAGGGGAGCAAACGGGAUUAGAUACCCCCGUAGUCCCUGAGCGGGCUGGCAAGGCGCAU